CACGUGGCUCCCAUCUUGAUAGGAGUUCCAGGGAAACCAGGGAGCUUCAGAUGCCCCAUAUCCACUUCCUUUCUUGAUCUGAAAUUCUUUUGAAGUUUUGGAGACUUUCAGUGGAAACCCGAGCUGCCAGCUGCCAAGUGGCCUCUUGAAGAUAACAGCUCAACUCAAAGAGGGCCUGCAACCAUAGGAUUCUAGGUACUGGCUCAAAGGUGCUCAACUCUGGCUACAGGUGGAUCGUCAUUUAACUACCAAUGUACCUUAAAGGACAGUGAAAUGCAGGCUGCAUGGCUCCUGGAAAGAACUUGCUUAUAGGACUCUGAUACAUCUGGAUUGCCUAUUGCUCCUUCCUCCUAGCUCUCUGACCAGGGUCAGGUGGAUUCUUUACCAGCUGAGCCACAAGGGAAGCCCGAGAUCUCAUUUAAAUGGCAGUAAAGAAGAACUGAAAAGAAUAAAUGCAAAUUUGUCAUGGGAAUAAACUCAAAGAUGGAAUUGUCAAGGGGAAUGAUUUUAACAUAUUUCUGGAAGAUGAAAAGUGGAAAAAGAAAGUAUCUGCUUCCAGUAAUUAAGAACUAGGUGGGCAUGUCCUCCCUGUGCUGGGCACUGUGCUAGACUCUGUGGCCACAAAGAUGGAUGAGACAAGAUACUUCCUCUGCAGCUACUCACGGCCUCAUGGAGACAGUCAACCAGGGAAUGGACAGCUACAAAAUGAUGUGACACGAACUCUGAUGAGUCCAAAUUUUCUUUCCAGUUCAUUCCUUUCUUUUUACCGUCAAGGUGAUGAAGGUGUCUUAGUAAGGUGGAAUAAAGAAGCAAAGCUUUAU